GUCCAGUUGGUCCCUUUUUGUUCUCAGAUCAACCCUCUGAGAAGUGACCGCAUGUUCAGAGGGUGCUCUCAGACUACACUUGUCCACCUUGUCACUGGUAUUUUUGAUGCUUAUCUUUCCAACCAGCUCUGUGAGAGCUGUGUUCUAAUUACCCUGCUAUACAACCAUAUCCCUGAUGGUUGCCGAAGGAGUGUGGAGACAGGGAAAGAUACUUCAGAGCUCAUGCUAUGAGGUGAUUGGGCUCCAGAGGCAUUUCAUGACCCCAGGAGUUCCUAAGUGCAGCCGUGCAACUAGGACCAUUUUCUCGGCAGAACUUUCUGCCACAUCACUGGUUCAUGGAGAAACCAUACAGUUCAGAGCCAGAGAC